CAGGGACACAGGUAUUUAUAAUCACAUAGAGGGACCAUGGUGAAUAUUCCCUUUGUGUUCAAAAGUGAGGCUUUAAAUAAGUGGCAGCUUAUUCAUUUCAGAUGCAUUUUAUUGCAGUGGAGGAAGGAGGAGAAGCAAGUGAAGACAAUGAAGUUUGCCUAUCUUUACCAAGAGCUUGAUGAUUUGAACCACUGACUGAUUGCCCUGUACUUGGAGGAUGUGAGGAAGCAGAAUUGAGCCAAUAAAGAGAAGAGGAAGAAGGAGCCACAGAACUGAGUGGGAUGUCCCCUGAGCACUCCUUGGUGGAGCAAAAGUCUUGCAAGUCUCUAGUGCGCUGGGCAGGCUGAGGGCGUUCAGCCGAGAACACAGCUCUGUAAAUACAUCAGCGAGGAUGCAUAUAUACAGUUUCCCCAGUGCUCCCUCAGACCCUUGGAGGCUGGGCUACUCCAAGCUCUGUUUCCUGCAAAAAAAUGGAGUAAGUCCUGUGGAGUCUAAAUACACAUUCCCUCUGCAUUAUACCCACGCCUCGACUUCAUUAUAUCUAGGAGCACUGAGACAAAGAGAUUUAUAACAAACUUCAUCCAAGCCAAGAAUGAAACAC
ensembl:lncRNA novel transcript